AGUCUAAAUUAUAUGUAUGCUGUCAUUUUCCCCAGUAGAAGAAGACAUGGGAGAAGUACUCAGGACCAGAUAGGACAGCAGAAAGCAAGGCAGAACCUGAGCUCCCAGAGGUCUGAGUGGAGUCUAAACAUGGUCUAAUGGACCGACUGUUUUUGCUGACCUUCGUCUUCUGUUCAGUCUCGUGGAUUUUCUUCUGGGAGGUGCGCUGGAAGAAAGGCAAGGAAAGUCAGAUUGAAGAAUGGCUCCAGAGACACAGCCUAUCUGAAUACAAGUAUUUGUUUGAAGAUGUACAGACUCUGGAGGAGCUGAGUUUAUGUGUGCUGUCUCGGCUGAAGGAAGUGGUGAAGGAAAAGCAUCACUGGAGGGAGAUUACUGAGGCCCAAGUGCAGCUGCUCAGAGACUUUGCCUUCCAGGAGUGGCUUUGUUCCCAGAGCCUGGAGCACUACUAUCACACCCUGAAGACCCUGGGCUGCACUACCCUGGAUGAUCUAGCACAGUUUGACAGCCAGCUUCAGCUUUCUCUAGCAGCGUGGGGCUAUUACUACGAGGAUUACAUCAAACUGUCCACGGGUGUGAGGGUCCUCCAGGCAUCUAAGGGAAGUAGAGAUCAAGACUACGAGAUUCAGCUGGUGCACAGCCUUGCUGAGAGGCGGCUGAAUGAGAAGUGGUCUUUUGCAGGAGCUCUGAUAUUUGGCUGUACCAUUGCCCUGUGCUUUCUGAUAAGGGACCUCAUGUUUUACGUGAUUGGUAAGUCAAUCACUUGAUACCAUUAUUUUUAAAGCUUAAUUAUAUAGUUCUAAAAUGUGAUAAAACAAAUAUUUGGGUCAUUCCACAAAAUCUGUG
rnacentral:lncRNA from 1 species